UACGUAGGGUGCGAGCGUUGUCCGGAAUUAUUGGGCGUAAAGAGCUUGUAGGUGGUUUGUCGCGUCUGCUGUGAAAAUCCGGGGCUCAACCCCGGACUUGCAGUGGGUACGGGCAGACUAGAGUGUGGUAGGGGAGACUGGAAUUCCUGGUGUAGCGGUGAAAUGCGCAGAUAUCAGGAGGAACACCGAUGGCGAAGGCAGGUCUCUGGGCCAUAACUGACGCUGAGAAGCGAAAGCAUGGGGAGCGAACAGG
rnacentral:rRNA from 1 species